rnacentral:rRNA from 1 species
CUCUAGUGACCGAUAGUGAACCAGUACCGUGAGGGAAAGGUGAAAAGUACCCCGGAAGGGGAGUGAAAGAGAACUUGAAACCGUGUGCUUACAAGUAGUCAGAGCCCGUUAAUGGGUGAUGGCGUGCCUUUUGUAGAAUGAACCGGCGAGUUACGAUCUGAUGCAAGGUUAAGCAGAAAAUGUGGAGCCGUAGCGAAAGCGAGUCUGAAUAGGGCGAAUGAGUAUUUGGUCGUAGACCCGAAACCAGGUGAUCUACCCUUGGUCAGGUUGAAGUUCAGGUAACACUGAAUGGAGGACCGAACCGACUUACGUUGAAAAGUGAGCGGAUGAACUGAGGGUAGCGGAGAAAUUCCAAUCGAACUUGGAGAUAGCUGGUUCUCUCCGAAAUAGCUUUAGGGCUAGCCUCAAGUGAUGAUUAUUGGAGGUAGAGCACUGUUUGGACGAGGGGCCCCUCUCGGGUUACCGAAUUCAGACAAACUCCGAAUGCCAAAUAAUUUAACUUGGGAGUCAGAAUGUGGGUGAUAAGGUCCAUAUUCGAAAGGGAAACAGCCCAGACCACCAGCUAAGGUCCCAAAAUAUAUGUUAAGUGGAAAAGGAUGUGGCGUUGCCCAGACAACUAGGAUGUUGGCUUAGAAGCAGCCAUCAUUUAAAGAGUGCGUAAUAGCUCACUAGUCGAGUGACACUGCGCCGAAAAUGUACCGGGGCUAAACAUAUUACCGAAGCUGUGGAUUGUCCUUUGGACAAUGGUAGGAGAGCGUUCUAAGGGCGUUGAAGCAUGAUCGCAAGGACAUGUGGAGCGCUUAGAAGUGAGAAUGCCGGUGUGAGUAGCGAAAGACGGGUGAGAAUCCCGUCCACCGAUUGACUAAGGUUUCCAGAGGAAGGCUCGUCCGCUCUGGGUUAGUCGGGUCCUAAGCUGAGGCCGACAGGCGUAGGCGAUGGAUAACAGGUUGAUAUUCCUGUACCACCAUUAUUCGUUUUAAGCGAUGGGGGGACGCAGUAGGAUAGGCGAAGCGUGCUGUUGGAGUGCACGUCCAAGCAGUGAGAUUGAGUGUUAGGCAAAUCCGGCACUCUUAAGAUUGAGCUGUGAUGGGGAGAGGAACUUGUUCCUCGAGUCGUUGAUUUCACACUGCCGAGAAAAGCCUCUAGCUAGAAUAACGGUGCCCGUACCGCAAACCGACACAGGUAGUCAAGAUGAGAAUUCUAAGGUGAGCGAGCGAACUCUCGUUAAGGAACUCGGCAAAAUGACCCCGUAACUUCGGGAGAAGGGGUGCUCUUUGAGGUUCACGCUUCGAAGAGCCGCAGUGAAUAGGCCCAAGCGACUGUUUAUCAAAAACACAGGUCUCUGCUAAACCGUAAGGUGACGUAUAGGGGCUGACGCCUGCCCGGUGCUGGAAGGUUAAGAGGAGUGGUUAGCGCAAGCGAAGCUACGAAUCGAAGCCCCAGUAAACGGCGGCCGUAACUAUAACGGUCCUAAGGUAGCGAAAUUCCUUGUCGGGUAAGUUCCGACCCGCACGAAAGGCGUAACGAUUUGGGCACUGUCUCAACGAGAGACUCGGUGAAAUCAUAGUACCGGUGAAGAUGCCGGUUACCCGCGACAGGACGGAAAGACCCCGUGGAGCUUUACUGUAGCCUGAUAUUGAAAUUCGGUACAG